rnacentral:rRNA from 1 species
UUAGCUUUCUUUACUGGCGACCGGCGCACGGGUGAGUAACACGUAUCCAACCUGCCCUUUACUCGGGGAUAGCCUUUCGAAAGAAAGAUUAAUACCCGAUAGUAUAAUGAUUCCGCAUGGUUUCAUUAUUAAAGGAUUCCGGUAAAGGAUGGGGAUGCGUUCCAUUAGGUUGUUGGUGAGGUAACGGCUCACCAAGCCUUCGAUGGAUAGGGGUUCUGAGAGGAAGGUCCCCCACAUUGGAACUGAGACACGGUCCAA